AACUCGAGCACCUGCGUAAGCACAGGUGGGACUUAUCAUCAGACGAGUGCGGAGGAACAUGCGUACGAGUGGCCACCGCACGUUUCAUAAAUCAGGAUUUUGACCGUUUGUACGAACGUUCUAGAUUUCGGUCGUAGGAGGGACUAUAGGACAGUUUCUAAGAACGUUUGAUAGAUGAGGGCCCUGGAAUGAUCCCCAUUGAGAGAUUAAUUUAGCAGAAGGCUGGACACCUCGCUUGAACUUAAGUUUCAAUUCUGUGUUUUUUCUUUUAAAGGUCUGUUUUUUCUAAGCUUUGGACCAGCCAGAAGCCAGAGAUCUUAGUGGGCGUGGUGCGGCUCGGCUCGGCUCAGCUCAGCUCUACCGUUAUUUCUAAAGCACCUAUCAGGCACAGGGGUGACAACAAAGCCUGAACACAAACAGGAUAAGGAUUAAAAGAGAAAUAAAAGAAAACUCCAAGCAGACUAACGGCCAAGGGUAACGGCCAGAUCAGAUAAAGUCUUUAGCCUGACCUCAAAAAUCGUCACCGUUGGUGAAGCAGGUACAUUGUAUGGUGACUCAUUCUAGAGUUUCGAGCCCGCCACAGAAAAAGCUCUGUCCCCUCUUGUGGGUCCUACUUGUGAGAGACUACUGUCCGGGCGACAAGUCUUUGGCUCUGUCAGUGUCUGCAAGUAUGUAGGGGCUAGCCCAUUUAAUGAUUUAAAAACCAAUAAAAGGACUUAAAAAUGAAUCCAGAAAUCCACAGGCAGCCAGUGCAAGGAUUCCAAGACGGGAGACAUGGUCGAAUUUCUUUUUUCCAAUAGAAGUGUUGCAGCUGCAUUUUGCUCUAGUUGUACUCUUACCAGAGUUGGCCUGCACACCCUAAACAGGAGGGAACUGCAGUAAUGAGUUCAUGUUGUAAUAAAAGCAUGAACUACCAUCUCCAAUGUUGUCUUGUCAGGAAUGGUUUUAUUUUAGAUAAACGACGUAGAUGGUGUGGGGUGGACUACGUCUGAUGGACAGACUAGACCCUCUGGAGAUGCCGCUACACGCGCUGCAGCAACUGGACUUGGGGACAACAAAGGUUUUAAACAAUAAUCCAUGGUUAGGAGCUGCAAACGGCCUCCUCUCACUGUUCCUUUCUGUUUGGUGCUCCAAACAUUUGUGCUGAACUAAAAGGCUCAUUAGCUUUUCUCCACUACAACGUAGCUAAACCUUCACAAUAGACAACUCCAGAUGGUUUAAGCUCUUAAAGUAGUACUUAGGUGGUAAUCAUGUAUUUGAAGAAGUCAGAAUGGUCCAUGUGGGCAGGAGAUGCAGAGCUGCUGCACCACCUCCUCAUGAGGAUCCAGACAGGUCUCCUCCUACUGAUGGGACUGUAGAGCUGCUGCAGACAGACAGCUGAGGGCAUCAGAGCAACAUUUCACCUGCAGAAGAAUGGAAACGCUGGCUGUCAUCUGGUUCUGCUCAGCUCUCGUAGCUAAAAGCCUGGAAGCGGAGAUUACUGCCAGCAGAGCUGAAGUGGUUUCAUCAGAGGGAUCAAAACUUCAUCUGUCCUGCAACUAUUCAGUCAAAGCACACAACCUCCAGUGGUACCGACAGGAUCCUGGAUCAGCUCCUCGCGUCCUGCUCCUCAUCACUGACACCAAAGAACCCACGGUGGUAGAAGGAGAACAUCCAAACCCCCGACUGACAGCAGAACUGAACGAGGAGAGAAAUCGUUUGGACCUGCUGAUCUCCUCUGCUGCAGCAACAGACUCUGCUGUGUACUACUGUGCUCUGCAGCCCACAGUGACAGGAAACAGUAAAAGUGUGUAGAAAACCCUGCAGAGCAAAGACAACACAAUACUCCACAACAUCCACUAGAGCAGUGGUUCGCAACCUUUUUCCCAAGGGACCCCGUUUUUUACCAGUAAAAUUUUUGACGACCCCCUCCCAUUCUCUCUUCCAAUACAAACAUUAAGAAAUGAUAAAAUUGUUCAAGCACAUUUUAAUAUGCUUUGAUUCAAUAGAUAACAGUAAUAGUAGGCUGCAGUACAGAACAAAGUCAUUAACAAAACCAAACAGAGCAUAAUGUGCUUGACAGUUUGUAUUACUUUUCUGAACACAUUGUUUCUUGUAAACACUGAUAAAUCAAUCAUUCCUUUCAAUAAAUGUUUGACACAUAAAAAAUACACUGAGCAAAAUGUACUUAAAUGUGUAUAUUACUGUUUAUACUAGAUUAUUUACUGUAAAGGCUGUGAUUAAUCAACCAGUCCUAUCUUUAAUGAACUUUUGACACUUGAAAAUAAAACAGUGAGCUGAGCAAAAUGUUCUAAAAAGUGUGUUACUUUUUCUG